GUACAGGUUUUUGCUCUUUCUCUUCCGGGAGGCUUCGUCAUCAUCCCCAACGGUGUCAGCCCCGCUCAUCUGCGGAGAGAAGACAGACACGAUGCAGUCUGGGCACCCAGGAACUCCUGCCUAAGUAAACAGAGGCUCAGAGACCCAACAUUCCCUGCCACCAGCCCCUUCCAUCCCCAAAGCCCCCACCCGCGGCACACAGGUGAGGGAGGGAAACCCCACUGCUGGGAACAGCCUGGCCAUGAAGUGGAAUCGGCCUGGCAGACUCUCCGGCCACAGGGAUCUCCUCCUGGGACAGUCAGGUCCCCAGCUCACUGGGGAGAAGCCAGACGGCUGGCACUCAGGACAGAGGCUUCAUUGCAGGCAGUGAGCAGGUGAGAGGGCAGGGCUUCUGCUGUGUCACUAGGCCAAUCCCUGCCCCUCUCUAAGCCUCUAUUCCUUAAUUUCUAAAAUCAGGAUCAUAAUGAUUAAGUCAGGAUUCUGAAGUUCAAAGGAGACCUGAGAUGGUCAGCAGUGUAUAAAAUAAAUCAUUACACAGGCCUGAGUGCACCUCUCUUGCCUUAUAGCUUUCCAUGGCUCCCUAGUGCCCUCGGGAUAACAUUCAAACUCCGUAACACGACUGGAUCUACCAUCUUAGGAUCAGGGCAGAAAGUUCCAUUCAGUUAUUCCUUCAGUUAUCUCUCCAGCCUGGCCCCUACUUCAGCAACCUCCUCAACUCUGCCUUCCAACCAACAGAAGGUCUUCAUCUCCAUGUGCAAUUCCUUCCUCGGGGGAUGCUUUUGUGAGUCUCCCACCUGCAUGGAUGGAUGGAUGGAUGGAUGGAUGGAUGGAUGGAUGGAUGGAUAUGUGGAUAGGUGGAUGGAUAGAUGAGUGGAUGGAUGGAUGGAUGGAUGAAUAUAUGGGUGGGUGGGUGGAUAGAUGGAUGGAUGGGUGGAUGGAUGGAUGAGUGGAUGGAUAUAUGAAUGCAUGGGUGAAUAGAUGGAUGGGUGGGUGGGUGGGUGGAUGGUAGAUGAAUGCAUGGGUGAAUAGAUGGAUGGGUGGGUGGGUGGGUGGAUGGAUGAAGGAGUGGAUGAGUGGAUGGAUGGAUGAAUUACACCUUCAUUUAGCUCAUACUAUAGGCCAGACCCUGGAUGGGGCAUAAUUCAGAUACUAUCUCAUUAAACCUCACAAUAAACCUAUAAAGUAAAUAGAGGCUCAGAGAAUUUAAGUCACUUCCCCAAGGAGACCCAGCAUGUAAGUGACAGAGCUGGAAUCUGCCUCAAUUCAAGGCCUGUGUUUCUCCACCAGAGGAUGCUGCUACUCAAAAAUGCAAGGUCAGAACACAUUUUAAUGUUUCCUGUGAAAGACUCGGGAAGUGCUGCCUCCUUCCUGAGAAUGCUGCCCCACCAGAGUUGUAAACAUACAUGUGUGUACGUGCACACAGAGGCACACACCGUAUGGUGUGUGAUUUCAGAGCAAGUGUUUGGAACCAGACCUGGAUAUAAAUCCUGCUUUCACCAACUUUGGCUGCAUCAAUGCCUGCCCAGGGCCUAGUCUGCAAAGGCCCUCCAAAGGGAUUCUCCUUUCCAUCUUCUCCCCACUGUCUCACUAUGUGACCUUGUCCAGCUGAAAAGCAGAUGGAGGUGAGUCCAGGACCAUACAGCCCUUCCUUCACUCCAGGCAGAAUCCCUGGGCCCUGCCCAGCCUCAUCCAGCCACCUCCAGGGACUAGGAGCUCACCACCUCUUGGAACAAUAAUUAUAAUUCUUACUGUAAUUAUAACUGUAAUUAUAGUAAUGAUUAAGAGUGUAGAUUUUUAAUUGCCUGGAUUUGAAGCUUAGCUCAAUCAUUUAUUAGCUCAUUGACCUUAGCUCAGUUACAUCCCUCUCUGUGCCUCAGUUUCCUUAUUUGUAAAAUGCGGGUAAUAACCGGACUUCCCUCAAAGGGCUGUGGUGAGGAUUAUGUAAGUUAACACGGGGACGUGCUCAGCACAGCGCCCAACACACAGCAGUGAGCAAGUACUCUCAGCUAGCAUGGGUUUUGCCAUUAUUUAUUGAGCGUUCACUACAUGUCAGGUGCCGGGCCAAAGUGUUUUAACAUACUUUAUCUCAUUUAAUCUUGGCAACGAUUCUAAGAGCUAGUUACUGAUAUUUCCCCUCAGUGUGCAGCUGAGGAAACAGAUGCCCAGGGCAGUUUGAUAACUGGCCUGGGCUCUCUGAACUAACAAGUAGCAGAGAACUGUGGUCUGGGUCCAGAGCCCACUAGUGACUGAGCGCUCGUCUGUGAGCAGGGCUCAGCUGGUUUCCCUAUUGGUCCUGGUCGGACUUCUGGGGCUCCCUGGCCAUCCAUGGCUGCCCUCUCCGAUCCAGCCCAGGCUGGCAGGCCCCAUGGAACCACGUGGAAACAGUGGAUUUAAACUCUAUACUUACUUGUUUACACAUCCGAAAUAAUUCUUUAGGCUUUUUAAAAAUAGGAGGCUUGAAGGUAUUAUCGUCUUGGAGCUGGAAGGCAUUUUUGGGGUCCUCUCGUCUGAUCUCUGACCUACGUGGGAGCUUAGUGAAACAGGGCUGGCACCCUCUGUGGACCACCUCUGCCCAGGCCAGUCCCCUGCAGGGGAGGAAGGAAGCAGGGCCAGGGAAGGGCUGCAGCCUGUGGUCUCCUCACUGUCAAAGAAUAGCCCAUGACCCUCUGUGCUGAGCCAGAUAGGCUGGACUAGAAUUCAAUGGCAGCAUCCUGGACCCAAACACAAUUAUUCUCCGGGGCUUCCUUGACUCCCCAGGAAGAAGGCCUGUGAUCUGCUCUGCAGGGCCUCCAGGGAGCAGCCAGGAAGGCAGGGGUCUGGCGGCAGGGGGCACCAUGAGACCACUCAACUCAGCACAGGGCGCCACACCCAGGGGAUGGCCAGCUGGAGAACCAUGGCGGGGAGUGGGGGCAGGGGGCUCUCCCUCUCUGGACUCAGUCAGCCCAUCUGUGAGAUCACCAUGGUCGAGCAGACUAUCUCUGAGGUCUGCCUGUUCUGACAUUCCUACUCACAGUAGAAAUUGCUCAGCACAUAAGAGGGCAGGAUAACAGGGGUGUGGACCGGAGACAACGUCGAGACUGAAUGUCACCCUGUGGCAGGCAGCAUGUACUCUGGGCAGCCUCAGCUUAUCCGCACAGCAGCACAAAUGACCAGCCCAAGCUUUCUACGUACUGCGCCCUGGAACCCUUGGGACAACUCCCGGGGGACUCCGUGUUCCAUUAAUAAGAGAAAACCGAAGCUCAGAGAAAGAAGCAACUUGGCCAAGGUCUCAGAGCCAGGGAGGAGGAGGCAGAGCUGAGACUUGAACCUGGGUCUGUCUGACUCCACAGCCUGAACACUUCACCCCUCCCCUCUUCACCUCUUGCCUGGCAUUGCCUAGGAAUAGUGGCCCAUCAGCAUCAGGGGACCCUCCCAGAAGAGCCAGGCCAAAGCCAGGAAGAUAGAAGUCAUGGGGGAACCUGCCACUGUCCCUCUGCCAGUCCCCCACCCCCGGCCCCUCAUCAGCAUGAGGUCUCAGAGUCUAGGGCAGAGCCACAGAGGACUGACUAGACAAUGGUGAGGCCUUGUCCAGUGCCAUCAUCACUUGCUGCUGUGUGGCUGGGGACAAAAUAUCUCUCACUAGCCUCAGCCUCCCACUGUAAGCCAAGUGCCUGUCCACUUUGCAGCAGUGUCAGGAAGGUGAGAAAUGGGGUCUGGUGGUACUUCGAAUGGCGGCACAGCCAGUACUACCCUGGUUACUGCUCUUCUCCCCCUCCCCCUCCACAUAACAUGAUUACCAUUUAUGCAGCACCCACCAGGUGCUGAGCGCCAGGUACUGCCCUAAAUGUUUUACCUGUGUUAAGCUAUUUAAUUUUCCCAGCAACCCUAGGAAGGAGGCAUUAUUACCAUACCCAUUUCACCAAGGAGGAAACUGUGGCUCACAGAGGGGCAGGGACUUGCCCAAGGCCCAGUACCAGUAAGAGAUGGAGCUAGACCACGGUGUUUGUCCCAUCCGGGGCUUCAUCUCCUCUUGACAAGUUUCCUACUGAAGCUACUGGUGGAAGAGGGCAGGAUGUGAAUGGCAAAGGGCUCAGGAACUGGUGUGUGGAAGCCACAUGGAAGGGUGGCCACCACCAGGCUGGGGGCAGCCUCUGAUGUCUCUGCCAGCUCAGCCACUCAAACCCAAGAAAGGAAGUGACCGGCUAAAAGUUGGUGGGACAGGGGAGGGUGCCAGUGGGAACCUUGGGCACCCAAAGGAGGAAGCUGAGACAAGAGAGAGCUGGUCCAGGCCUGCUAGACUCCCAGGCAGGAGUAUGUGUCCCAAAAUAGGAGCCGAGGUCAACUGAGCUGGGGAAUUAGAUAAAUGCAUACAUAUGAAUGUGUGUGAAUUUAUCUGUAUAUAAAUAGUUUUAUUGGAGCAAGUGUGGUGAGGGGAAUAGAACUGGGAAGGGUGUAGUGGGGGAAUCAGGAUUGGGAAGCCCAAGGCAGGUGGGCCUCAACCGCCCUCCAAAGAGGAGUGGCCAGGCCUGAUCUGAAUGAGCCUGAGGCCUUGCCUUGGAAGGACAGCGUUCCGGACUCUCUCCUGUAGAAACCAUCAAGAAAUGGCCUAAGAUGGUGAUAUUCAAACUUUGGCAAGAUCAUGAUCCCUCGGGGCAUGUUUAAAAUAUAGGGUCUGGGCACCACCCCUAGAGAUUCUGAUUCCAGAGUUCUGGGUAUGGGGACUAGGAAUCACAUAUUAAUUACCUCCCCUUGGUGAUUCCGGAGCACACCACAGUGUGAGAACCACACACGCUUACAGAUGAGGAAACGGAGAUUUAGUUCCAAGGCCAAAGUUCAAGACCCUUUUCUGGAGGGCCCCAGCCUGCCCUGUCAGAAUGACUAGCUUUCAGCAGAAGGCAUCUCCCCAGAAGGUAAGUCUGCCUUCUUGCUAGUGGCUAAGAAGCUAAGCAGGCUUCUGAGGACAUGUCCCAACUUGGUGAGGAAGUAUGCUGGAAUCCAUUAAUGAUGUCUGCCAUGGGUUGGAGGGAGGAAUAGCAGCACCUGUGCCAGGCAUCUGCCCUUUAGGAAUGCUCUGCUCUAGCCAAAGAAUGCUUGCCUCUACCUCUCUGUUUAUUCUAAUCCUGUUCAUCCUUCAAGGCCAAGCUGAGAGGUAUCUUCCUCCAGAAGCUUUCCCUGAUGGCUUUAGGCCCUGGGGUCUGUCCUCCUGAAGUUCUAGAUCUCUGAGUCAGUUGUGCUCCAUGGGCACUGAGCACCCCUACUCACCUAGCCUCACACCAACACCUUGCACUGGCUGUUGCAUUUCAAGAGAAGGAGUGGGGCCCAGCAUUCCCUGAGGGCCGCCUCUCAAGCGGCUAGUGUUAUCAGGCACCAGCCUCUUCCAUUCAUCCUCAACCAUUCUGGGAUGUGAGUGCUAUUAACCCCUACUUUUCAGAGAAGAAAACUAUGGCUCAGAGGAGUUGAGUGACUCAACCAAAGCCACAUAGUAAGAAACAGAGCCCAGACCCAAACUAGCUGGUAGGCUUCAAGAUCAUGGCGCAAUCUGUUCACUGUUAGGCCACUUUCAAGGCUCACACAGUUAACUUAUUUCUCUCAGGUUGAGACCAGCCUCACACACUUCUGUGGCUCCUGCCAUGUUGCAGAGCGCAGGGCCUGGUACACAGCAGGAAAUCCAUAAAUACUUAUUCAUCUACAUAUAAAUAUUCACGAGAGGCAAACGGUGUGGUGGUUGGUUAAGAGCACUGGCCCUGGAACCAGAUUCUAAUUCUAGUUCAGACACUGAUACACUGUGUAACCUGGAGCAAGUUAGAUAACCUCUCUUUGCCUCGGUUUCCUCUGCUGUAAAAUGGGCACAAAAAUACUAUCUACUUCAAAGGGCUGUUGUGAGAGUUAAUGAGUUAAUGUAAACUGCUUAGGAUAAUGUGGACACGGAAUAAAUGUGUGUUGUCAUUGUGACUGGCUGAUGGAUUUCUAGUCUGGCUAGGCUGUAACUCUAUUUCUCCAGCUACUAUCUCAGAUCUUUUAAAUCCAAAUACACAAUGGCCUGGGCUAAGCUACACCUGCUCUGCUUUCUGUGGGGACCAGUGGAGCUAUAAGAACACAGCAUCUGGAAUCCUAAAGUCAUGUGUUUAAGUCCAUGCUCUGCCUUCUUGGUCCCAUUGGGCCUCAGUUUUAUCUUCUGUCCAACAGGUGGAAAGUUCGCUGGGAGGCUGCCAGGAUAGUGGGGGUGGAACAUGGUGACUUCUCAUUCCCUGCAGCCCCUGGGCCAGCCCUCCCCACAUUGCAUGUAUCCUUCUCCCUCCCCCUUUAGCUUUCUCACCUUCCUGUGUCCUGUGAAGAAGAGGGAAAGGUGGUGCAUGGAGCCACCAUUGCGGCCCAGCUCUUUCUUGAGGGUGCUGGGCGAAGGCAUG
rnacentral:lncRNA from 1 species